AGCCUGGUGGUGUAGUAGCAGCACAUCCCAUCAUCACAGGCUUCUGAGCAACGAACUCAGAUGAGAUGUCGAGGUUAGAAAGGUAGUAGGUUCAAAUCCUACCCAGGCUA